rnacentral:rRNA from 1 species
UACAGAGGGUGCGAGCGUUAAUCGGAAUGACUGGGCGUAAAGGGCGCGUAGGCGGAUUGUACAGUCAGGCGUGAAAUUCCUGGGCUCAACCUGGGGGCUGCGUUUGAUACGUAUGGUCUUGAGUGGGGAAGAGGGUCGUGGAAUUCCCAGUGUAGAGGUGAAAUUCGUAGAUAUUGGGAAGAACACCGGUGGCGAAGGCGGCGACCUGGUCCUUGACUGACGCUGAGGCGCGAAAGCGUGGGGAGCAAACAGG